CAUGGGGUGUCAGCAGACACUGAGCAGCUCAGCCUUUAACCAUAUAUUUCUGUACCAAGCAGAAAGAUAAUUGAAACCUUACAGAUAUCUUAAAGAUAUACAGAAAAAAUGACUCCCUGAUGUCAUAUAAAAUGUAAUAAUUUUGAACUGUCUCUUACCUUCAUUUUCAGGCCUCAGGGGUUCUGUGCAUAGUUGAAUUGAUAAGGUUUAAGGGGUGAUUGUAUCAAAGUCCUCAAAAUAUUAAGGAAAAGACACGGUAGAUAAAGAUAAACUAUUUCCACUGGUUGGGGAUUCUAGAAUUAGGAGGCAUGGACUGAGAAUUGGGGUACAACCGUACAGGAGAGAUGAUGGGAAAGACUUCUAUACACAAAGGGUGGGAGAGGUUUGGAACUCUCUUCCACAUAUGCAGUGGAUGCUGGAUCAGUUGUUAACUUUACAUCUGAAAACGAUAUUAUUUUUGUUAAGCAAAGGUAUUAAGAGAUAUGGGCCAAAGGCAGCUUUAUGGAGGUAAGAUCACCAUUACCUCAGAGAAUGAUAAAACAGACUUGAGGGGCUGAAUGGCCUACUAUGAAUGAUACAUUGUUUUUCCACCUUUGAGGUCUAGUUGGGAUCCAUCAGUGCAAGACCAGUGGGCUGUUUUUUAUUUAUGGUUCAAAGUUCUAAUGGUUUUGGGUAAAUACCAUUUAAUUCCCAGUGAACAUAAUCCAUUGUUCAGUCAAAACCAAAUUGGCAACUUGCAGUCAUAUAGAUUCAGGAGUGGCUGAUGUAGGAUGUAGAAAUUAGAGUGACAGAAUAAGCAAUGAUUUUCUGAUGGGUGUUUGAGGAAUCAUGAGAAAUUCCCUUUGCUAUUUCUCGUUAUUCUUAAAAACAUUCUAAGAAAUUGUAUUUGUCAUUUCACUGAGAAAAGCGUCAAUAUUAGGGGAGAAGUGAUGGACUGUUACUUUGCAUUGGCCAGUAUUUUACAGAAAAGGAGAGCUUUAUCCAUCUACUGAUACCAUUUAAUAUUUUGUCUGCCUAGUGAAACCUUCCUUUCUGCAUUUUCUUUCUCAGUUGUAGAGUUGAUGUUUCUCUAGUCAGUCUCCAUAGCUUAUCUCCAUUUCAUUUCAAAAUGCUCAGCUGUAGUUAAAUGUUGCUUUAGUACAAUAACUUUUAGAAAUUAAGGAUAAGGAUGCAGCAAUUAUUAAACAUAAUCCCCCCUAUUUGCCUUUGCAGACUUUAUUAUUUGGGCGUGACCUCAUCAUAAGGUAGCCCCAUCUCUGAUAUCUUUACAGAAACCAUGCUGAUAAAAACUUGCUAUAUGAUAAUGAUAAAAGAUGUUAACAGAGUAGAAAGUAAACAUACCACAAUAUAGGAACGACUUGAAUUCUUAAAUGUCUGUCACCUAUGGACUUUAACUGUUGGAAACUGUUCUCUGUGAAAGUCUGAUGUGAAUCAUUAACUAUUUUUAUCCUUUACAUUACUUUUAAUCAGUUGCUCUGUUAAAAUUAAUGGACAGAAUAUCUUGCUGGGACCCAGUGACCUUUUGCCCAAUGCAUCUCCUUCCUCCCUUUCUGAAGUCCCAAGAGUCCCUCCCCAGUUAAAAAUAAAUAAAUUCUGUAAAACUGUUUGAAGGAAAGGCAGGUUUAUUUUUAUUAGAGGUGGAAGGGGGAAAGUGGAGCAAAGUGUACUAUUUAGAUUAUAAAUGCUUCUAACAAGACGGUGAAACAUGGAAAUGCUAUCUCUGAGAGCUGGAGGAAUGUUUGAUCGAUUCUGAGGUAGCUUUUUCAGAGUAUACUAAGCCCUUUUAGAUAAUAAUAGAGAGAGCAUUUUUGAUUUCUAGUAUUUAUUCCUCUCUUUUCAGCAUGCAGAUAAACAUCAUCUGACUUGGAUACAUUCAGUACAGUAACAGACAAAAAAAAAUGCUAUAAGAGCUAAUUGCUUGUCUAAAACCAGACAAAUGUGGCUCUGUUGCACAAAUCCAUCAUUUCCAUUAAAAUUGUUGUUGUGAUAUCGUAUUCCUUCACUGUGUGCCACUAGAACCUUGAAUUAAUGCACCAAUUUAGUUUUCUGUACAAUAAUACAGGGGUUUUACAAUCCAUUACUGAGAAAUGGCUCUGCCACAGCAUUAUAUUGCCCCCUGGUGGAAACACCAUCAUGGUCAUUGUAAUGGAAAGGGAUGUCAAUUUUUCUAUAAGAUUGUUUCUCUUCUAAAGCUGUACACAAAAAAAAAUGCUUGAUAGGUUCUUCAAAUCUGUCACAUGAUGGGAUAUCAGAAGGUGGAAAUUAGAUAUUAUGUUGAAUGUUUGAUACAAAAUGAUUAAGUUUGUUUAACUUUCUUGGUGAGUCAGGGAGAUUCUCACACCAGUAAUUACAACUCAUUUCUUCAUUCUCACGGAAAUUGAGUUCUGGAUCUGUUAUUUUUUCUCUUGGAUGCCUCAGAUAGAUUGUGAAGGUACAGUACUGUACUUGGGUACUUCCAAAGCCAUUGCUGUAAAAUAAAGAAUAUCCCUAUCCUCAAUUUAGGGGUAAGUGGAAACUAGUGAUUUAUUGAAGUUUCACUGGAACGAGGAACAAAUCAAGCAACUGUCCAAUGCCAUCAGAGAAGCUCUCUUUAUGAAAUGUUUCCUUCAGUUUUUCUUUGGUGUUUUGUUUUUAAGUUGACAAGACUUGAAAAAAUACAAAAUAUAAUGUGUAAAAUGUUUUCCAAUAACUGUACUGUCUUAUUUUCUUGUUUAAGAUUCUGAUGAGGAACCUAUGUGUAAUACCCAGUGUUAGCUGUCCCUCAGUAGCAGUCUCACCUCUAAAUCAGAAGACUGUGUGUUCAAGACCAACUCCAGAGACAUUAGCGUAUGAUCCAGGUUUAAAUUUCUGUGCAGUAUUGAAGGAGUACAGCACUGUUGGAGGUGCCAUCUUUCAGAAACAAUGUUAAAAUAAAGGCCAUAACUGUUUGACAGGUGAAUGCACAAGAUCCCACAGCAGUAUUUUAAAGAAAAGCCAAAGAGUUCUCCCUGAUAUUGGAGCCAACUCUUAUCCUUCAACCAACAUUAAUAAAACCAACAAUCUGGUCAUUAUUGCUGUUUGUGUGUGCUUUUUGGCUGCUAUGCUUCCAACAUUACAACAGAGACUAUACUUCAAAAUAUACAGUUAGCUGUAAAAUGCUUUGAAAACCCUGAGUUUGUGAAAGAUUCCAUUUAAGUAUAAGUUCUUUCCUUUAAUAGUUAAUUGUUAUAACAACUAAUAUCUUCCCAAAGAUAAGCAGGAUUCAGGAUAUGAAUGGCAAUACUGAUCUUUUGACCUCGGGGACCAUGUAGCACAGCCUGAACUGAAGGUUGUGGAAUAUUGGAAGCUAUUCUACAACAAACAUCAAUCUGUACGGAAACAGGUGAAACAACUCCUUCACAGUUGUUUAAAAGUAAUAGCUAAGGAUUGGUGGAAAAUUUUAAAUAAUAUAGCAGGUUUCCAGUUGCAAAAAUUCACUGAUGGAUGAAGUGAUCAAUUUAUUGUUUAGAUGUUUGGAUCUUUUCCACAGGUUUAGUGGAUUAAAGAUGGAUUGAAGUUUCAAGCCAAGAUCUGAAGCGUAUCUCAAUCUAUUUGAAAUUUCACAGUCCGGAACAUUCAGGUUCCAAAAUGGAUUUUGAAUUUAGCACAGUGAACAUCUGUUUGGAAAAGCUCUGAGGACUGAUGCACAUGAUAUAAUGUUUUGCUUAUCACUGUCUCGUCAGCAACUGCUUUUAAUUUACUGUUUCUUUUAACCACAGGAUUUGGUGAUAGACUUCUGAGUGAAGUAAAGAAACUGGCACCAAAAGAUAUAAAAAUAAAGAUCUCUGCCCCACAGGAGAGGUUAUACUCCACAUGGAUAGGAGGCUCUAUUCUGGCAUCCCUUGACACAUUUAAGAAAAUGUGGGUGUCCAAGAAAGAGUACGAGGAAGAUGGGGCCAGAGCAAUCCAUAGGAAGACAUUCUAAGCCCCUGCCAGAAUUGGCCCAUACAUAAACUCACUCUGAUGUAAACCUUGCUUGUCUGGGUAUGGUGUAUGCCUGUAAGAAGGUGAAUGUGUGUAAUAUGAGAGCACCGAGGAGAUACAAAGUCUGGUUUUGGGACACACGUCAUCAAAAUGAGAGAGAUUUUGGUCAUUUUCAUUUUUUCUCUGCUCCCCCCACCCCUUUACUUUCCCUCUGAUUAUGUUGUCAUUCACAGUUAACAUGUGGUGUGGGAGUCCGGCUACAUACACUAAAACAUGCCAACUGUAAUUGGCUAUGGCCACUGUCUCUGAUUUCUUUGAGGUUAUGAUGUUAAGCCAGAAUAAGCAGUGAGAGGAAAUGAAAGCUCCUGAGACAGUUGGGUGGAUGUUAAAAGUGUGGUAUGAGUGGUAAUUUUUAACAGGCUUUUGUUUCUAUUGCUUUUGAGACUGGUAAUGAAUUUGUAACCUAUUGUGCGUAGACAAACUGCACGUCCUGAUGUUCCUAAAUUUUUUAAGAAAUAUAUUAGCAGAGCUCCGUAUGAAUAUAUAUAUAUAUAUCCCAGUGCUUUUUUGUCCAUGUCUAGUAACACUAACAUAUACUGGCUUGUGUGCCCACUAGAUGAGGUACUACCGUUACCCCUGCAGGCUGCAAGUAUUUUGUGAUAUUUAGUCAGGUGUCAAUAGAGAGAACCAGCAGGAAAGCCCUUUAGAAAACAAGGGCAGACUAGUGGUAAAGAGUGCAGCAUGUAAAAUAUUAAGUUAUUUUUCAUUCUUUCUUUGUAAAUGUUUUAAGCUAAGCCAACAGAAACAGGUCAGAAAUCCCAGCUUAAACAUUGGUUGCCAUAUGUAAGGAAUGAAACAUAUUUUAAACUAAAAUAUGUGUCAGUAAUACAUUAAUGGACAAGGGGUAAGCACAAUGCAGUUUAAAGCCAGUUGCAAAGCAAGUGUCAUUCAGUUCAGUUCAUUCAGAUCACCACCACCCCAGUCACAUUGUGUACAAGUCUGAUUUGCUGACUGUUGGUUCUAGGAAUGCAAACGAUGGUUUGGGCUGCAGUUGCUUUAAGUAUUCAUUUCCCAACCAUUGUCACAGGGUGACGAGACUGGAGUGGGAGAAAAAAGGAAAUUGCAAAUUGAAUUGCUCAGAAUCAGGAACGAAAUUCAAACCUGUGGCGGAAGGCCUUCCUGUUAAUAAUACUGUCAUAAUGUUUAGCAUGAAAGAAACGAACAAAGUAUUCAUUUUAAAAUGAAAAGCUGGUAUUUAAGCCUUAGAACUGUUUGUAGUGUCACUUGUAUGACUACAGUCGAGCAGUAACACGUGAUGUUAUAAGUGCCAGUCAUAUUUUUUAAGAAGUGCAGUUGUUAAUGUCAACUGUAAUGAAGGGAACUGCUGUCAACCACUGAACAUGUUCUGCUGAGAGUAAACAUGACAACAUAGCAGAUCAGCCUUUUCGUUGUUUAGAGUUAAUUUGAAUGGUAAAACAAAGUUGUUUAAAUCUUUACCUUAGCACAUUUGUUUUAGAAAGUCACUGAAAUUGACUGAGAACACCACUGACAUUAGCUUGUCAUGACUGCUGUAGAUCUAGGUCUCCUGUACAAUGAAGACUUUGAAUAGGUCCAUUCUGACUGUAGCUUUUACUACGUUUACCAUCCAUUGUUUUACCAUGCAGAAGUAUUGCGAACUGUGCUGCCAGGUGAUGCCACUGUACUUGAAAACCUUAAAAUAAAAGCUGUUCAUAAGCA